GGUGAACAUGUAUGGGAUUGUAUGUGUAUACCUGUAAUUAUACUUUUGAUUGUUUUGUAUUGAGUGUCUCAAGCAUUACCCGGUUGUGUGAAAUGUGUUUUUAGAAAGAAAGAAAGAAAAAAACACCUUAGACACAACUGGGUAAUCCCUAAAUCCUGCACUGUUAGAGAUACUUGAGGACUGUGUUGGGAACCACUGGUCAAGAAGGUGAUUAACAAAGCUGGAGAUAAGCAAUUCUAAAUUAAACCGACUGUACAAUAAAGUAACCUAGUCUAUCUAGGUUACUUUUCAGGACUUGUUUG